UACGGGGGGGGCAAGCGUUGUUCGGAAUUACUGGGCGUAAAGGGCUCGUAGGCGGCCAACUAAGUCGGAUGUGAAAUCCCCAGGCUCAACUUGGGAACUGCAUCCGAUACUGGAUGGCUAGAGAUUGGGAGAGGGACGCGGAAUUCCAGGUGUAGCGGUGAAAUGCGUAGAUAUCUGGAGGAACACCGGUGGCGAAGGCGGCGUCCUGGACCAACACUGACACUGAAAAGCGAAAGCCAGGGGAGCAAACGGG
rnacentral:rRNA from 1 species